UGAAGAUGCUAGAUCUACUGNGAAAACU
rnacentral:piRNA from 1 species